UUUAUAUGUCAGUAUAUUCGGCAUAUAUUUCGAGUCUAUUUAGAAAUUGCACAGGGGUACAAAAAAUUGAUUCAUAAGAAAAGGUGGAAACAUUUUUUAAAAUGACAAAGAGUCACAAAGGAAUUUGUAUUCUUUUCCUUUCUGAAAUGAAAUAAAAUCUAAUGUAGAAACUGCAAAGCUCAGUGCCUUAGGGUGCGUUACAGUUCGUA